rnacentral:lncRNA from 1 species
CUAUGGGAUAUUUAUUGGAUGAUGUAGUUCUAGAUUCUCAUUAUAGCAUCAAUUUAUUUGACUACUACCAUACAAUUACAAGUAUUAUAGAUAUGCUUUCCCCAAAACUGGGAAAUCUGAGAUUUGUGUGCAGAAUGUUUAUUGAGGUGUUUUUUCAGAACAUUAUCUGUGAGGAGAAAAAGUGGAAUUAGGCAGAAAUAAAAGUCAGAGUAUAAUGCAGUUGUAAUAGAGAACCCAGGAGAUCUUGAAAGAAAUACUAAAACUAGGAUUGCCCAUGAGAAUUCCUCUGCCUUGAAGCAAGGAAGCAUGAUUCUAAUAUGCUUGAAUCCUUCAGUUAUUGGAUAAGGACAAUGGUAUGGCAUUGGGUGAAGAGGUUUUCUUUAUCUAAGGGAAAUUCCCAGUGGGGGCCACAAGAACCAGCCAUCAACACUCCCAGAAACUGGAGAAGUGAAUAAAACACGUGAGUAGGAUAUAACAGCAUCCACUAACCAGAGAUUAUUGUAAAUAAAAUAUUAUUGGAACAUAGCCAAACCCACUUCAUCUUGUAUAAUGAAUGCCUUUUUUGUGCUACAGCAUCAUAAUUAAGGCGUUGAAAUAAAAAUCAUUGCCUGUAUGGCCUAAAAUAUUUAUUUACUGGAGCUCAGGGGAAAAAUUAUCUGUGGUAUCCUGUGCUAAGUCAAUAUAGUUUUUUUUGUUGUUGUUGUGGGGAGGGUGUUUUUUUUUUGUUGUUCAUUUGAUUGUUUUUGUUUUGUUUUGGUCUGCUUUGGGGGAGUUGAUUUGUUCUGCACCAGGGAUUGAAGCCAGGGAACUUAACCACUGAGCCACAUCCCAGGCCCUUUUUAUAUUUUAUUUUGAAACAGGGUCUAGGUAAGUUGCUUAGUGUCUCACCAAGUUUCUGAGGCUGGCAUUGAACUUGCAACUCUCCAACCAUGGCCUCUUGAGCUGCUGGGAUUACAGGCAUGUGCCACCAUGCACAGAUCACUGUAUUUUUAUUAUCAGAAAUAAUGUA